AGUGAACGCUGGCGGUAGGCCUAACACAUGCGAGUCGAACGGCAGCACAGUAAGAGCUUGCUCUUACGGGUGGCGAGUGGCGGACGGGUGAGGAGUACAUCGGAAUCUACUUUUUCGUGGGGGAUAACGUAGGGAAACUUACGCUAAUACCGCAUACGACCUACGGGUGAAAGCAGGGGAGCUUCGGACCUUGCGCGAUUGAAUGAGCCGAUGUCGGAUUAGCUAGUUGGCGGGGUAAAGGCCCACCAAGGCGACGAUCCGUAGCUGGUCUGAGAGGAUGAUCAGCCACACUGGAACUGAGACACGGUCCAGACUCCUACGGGAGGCAGCAGUGGGGAAUAUUGCACAAUGGGCGCAAGCCUGAUCCAGCCAUACCGCGUGGGUGAAGAAGGCCUUCGGGUUGUAAAGCCCUUUUGUUGGGAAAGAAAAGCAGCAUGUUAAUACCCCGCUGUUCUGACGGUACCCAAAGAAUAAGCACCGGCUAACUUCGUG
rnacentral:rRNA from 1 species